UACGGAGGAUCCGAGCGUUAUCCGGAUUUAUUGGGUUUAAAGGGUGCGCAGGCGGGAUGUUAAGUCGGCGGUGAAAUUUUGCAGCUCAACUGUAAAAGUGCCUUCGAUACUGGCUUCCUUGAGUGUGGAUGAAGUAGGAGGAAUUUGUGGUGUAGCGGUGAAAUGCUUAGAUAUCACGAGGAACUCCGAUUGCGCAGGCAGCUUACUAAACCACUACUGACGCUCAUGCACGAAGGCGUGGGGAGUCAAACAGGAUUAGAUACCCG
rnacentral:rRNA from 1 species